rnacentral:rRNA from 1 species
UACGUAGGGCGCAAGCGUUAUCCGGAUUAUUGGGCGUAAAGAGCUCGUAGGCGGUUUGUCGCGUCUGCCGUGAAAGUCCGGGGCUCAACUCCGGAUCUGCGGUGGGUACGGGGCAGACUAGAGUGAUGUAGGGGAGACUGGAAUUCCUGGUGUAGCGGUGAAAUGCGCAGAUAUCAGGAGGAACACCGAUGGCGAAGGCAGGUCUCUGGGCAUUAACUGACGCUGAGGAGCGAAAGCAUGGGGAGCGAACAGG